UACGGACUUAAAUCCGUCGACUUUAGAAAUCGUGAGGGUUCA
rnacentral:tRNA from 1 species